UACGUAGGGUGCAAGCGUUGUCCGGAAUUAUUGGGCGUAAAGAGCUCGUAGGCGGCCUGUUGCGUCCGCUGUGAAAGCCCGGGGCUUAACCCCGGGUCGGCAGUGGAUACGGGCUGGCUGGAGGCAGGCAGGGGAGAACGGAAUUCCUGGUGUAGCGGUGAAAUGCGCAGAUAUCAGGAGGAACACCGGUGGCGAAGGCGGUUCUCUGGGCCUGUACUGACGCUGAGGAGCGAAAGCGUGGGGAGCGAACAGG
rnacentral:rRNA from 1 species